rnacentral:rRNA from 1 species
ACUACGGGGGGCAGCAGUGGGGAAUAUUGCACAAUGGGGGAAACCCUGAUGCAGCGACGCCGCGUGAGUGAAGAAGUAUUUCGGUAUGUAAAGCUCUAUCAGCAGGGAAGAAGAAAGACGGUACCUGACUAAGAAGCCCUGGCUAACUACGUGCCAGCAGCCGCGGUAAUACGUAGGGGGCAAGCGUUAUCCGGAUUUACUGGGUGUAAAGGGAGCGUAGACGGCUGUGCAAGUCUGAAGUGAAAGCCCAGGGCUCAACCCUGGGACUGCUUUGGAAACUGUGGAGCUAGAGUGCUGGAGAGGUAAGUGGAAUUCCUAGUGUAGCGGUGAAAUGCGUAGAUAUUAGGAGGAACACCAGUGGCGAAGGCGGCUUACUGGACAGUAACUGACGUUGAGGCUCGAAAGCGUGGGGAGCAAACAGGAUUAGAUACCCCAGUAGUC